AUUAAUUUGAAUUUUUGCGAUUUGAGGUUAGUGUUCGAAAUUUAAAUUUCGGUUAUCAACUAUAAUUUCUUAUCAAGGGGCCGAACUGUACUCAUCCCAGAGAUUUUAAAUAACCUGGUUAUUUAAAAUUUCUAACUCAUCCCGGUUGUGCUAUACUACCCAACGGCCAACACUCAAGAUUCAAGACUCUGAAGACUCAACAGUAAUUUACAGUAUACCGUAUCGUCACUGGUCUGUGAUUAAUCAAUAUUCAUUGACGGUGACUUAUUAACUGUGUAAGAAUGAUAAGAUUAAAUCCUACAAGAAUAGAGCUCAGGAUUGAAGAUUUAAGUGAAUUUUCAGAUAUCAAAAAUCAUCAUGAAACUAUUAAAAAAGCUAAAGAAGAAAAACAAAAAAAUCUGUAUGGUCCUCUUUUAAACACCAACACAAAAACCAAACAAGAAGUUGUACAAGAAAGAAUAGGAUUUAUCCCAAGGCCCAGACAUUCAUCACAAUGAAGGAUAUUACUGUCAUAUUUUUUAUUUUAAGUAUUUUAAUUUAUUUUUUUUCUAAAUUUAAUAUAAAAUGUAUUAAAUGAUUAUAACUUAA